UGUUUUCCUCUCACUGACUAAGACAUCAGUGCUGUCCUCUGGGCCCCACACAUGGGCUUUUUUAAAAAAGAAGGCUUAUUGCUUUGCUAGCAAAGGAGAAACACAGGGAACUCCUGUCCCAGAGGCUGUGAUUCUGCCCAUCAGCAGGAACAGGGGGCUUUUAAAGGAGGUGAUUCAAAGGCUACAUUCCAUGUGUUCUCUGUUGGAGUCGUAAUUCCCUUGUGAAUUUGGGAGACAGUCAUUUGUGAAAUCUUCUGGUGCUAUCCCUAAAGUCUGGAUUCCUUCAUUUCUUCAGAGGAGCAGAGAGAGAAGAAGAGAUAGAAACAUGUCUAUUUAAAAAAUAAGUUGCAGUGGCAGAGAAGCGAGGGCUAUAUUCAAAGCAUAAAGUGGACCCCUGCUAGUUUCCGCACAGUUAAUUUCCACAUUCCAUUUCUGUGGGAAAAUGGGCGACAACAUCUCCAAGCUGCUUCCUGCUGAAAGAGGGUAGAGUUGGGGGAAGUGGCCCAAAGUCCUUGUUUUCUACCUUGGAUGGGGAGGUGGCGUGACAGCUAAGGGCAUUCAGUACCAGAGCAGUCCAGAGGUCCACAGUGGCAGAUGGCAGGUGACUGGACAAGGCAUACAAAGGGUAGGGAUCAUGCAGAUGGCCAAGGGUGUUGCCACCUUCCUGAGUUCAGUUUCCUUUUGCUCAAGGUGGAUCACAAUGGGGCAAACUGUAUCAUUCAGAGAGAGAAAGGGGGAGCUCCCCGAAGCAAAAAGAGCUUUGGCAGCUGCUGGGACAGUCCCUCGGGCCCUCCCUAUACUUGCAGGAACAGCUUCUCUGGUUCAACUGGAGGCAAACUCCCUGAUCUCCUAACUCUCCAGUAGCUGGCUCUCAGCGAGUUCUCCAGCACCUGGCAACCUCAGCAUGGACCGGGUUCCUCGGAGAGCCAGGCCUGACCAAGAAAGUUGGAGCUGGGACUGCUCUUGGGUCCCAUCUGGGGUGCCAAAUUUGUUACUGAAAGCUCAGUCCUUGUCCCCAGUGCCAAUACAAUAAGGAGGACAUAAUUUUGAGAAAAAGGAAAAAGGUUUAUUGCUUUGCUAGCAAAGGAGAAACACAGAGGAAUCCUGUCCCAGAGGCUGUUGAGUCUCCACCUGGGUAUCUUCUGGGCCCUCCUGGAUCACCCUGGAACUCUGCUCGCUAGUUUGCCUGUCUCUCAUUCCCACCUUCCAGCGUCCAAACACAGGUUGCCCUUCAUAGCCUAAAUACCCACAUACUCAACAGCACUCACCAUAAAAAGAAUAAGGACCAGGUUCUCAGUCCCUGUGAUCAUGUAACUUAGUAAGGGGAGACUGGUCCUAGACACAGUGAGGACACAAAAAGCGUCACGCUGACCUUGGCUUCAGACAAUGUGGGUUUCAGCCUUUGCUUUGGCACUUGCUAAGCUGUGUGAAUGGCGGAUGCUUUCAUUCAUGAGUUUGUUCAUUCAUUCAACAAAUAGAAGAUGAAGGAGCCCCAAGAGCCUAAGGUCAUCACACCUAUUUCUUGUGAUUUUGUAACUGCUGCUUCAUCAACCCUCUGUGUGGGUUUAUGGGCUUACCCUAACAAACACAGGCCCAACAGGAUAGAUGCCACUCUAACCUCAUCCAUUUAAACAGGAAUAGAGAGCACAUGUCCAUGCUGAUUAUCAUGCUAAAUCCCCACACUAGAAGAUCCCGGGGUGCCAUGAGACAGCCCAUAAGCUGUGCUUCUUGGUCUGCUCCUCUGUGCUCCCCAGAGUCCCCCUUCUCUGGGUCACACAUGACCCCAUAUGAACCAUAAUCUUUUGUCCCAGGGGGAACUUGAAACUUCAGUGACUAGAAUGGCCAGUUCCUGAUUUGUAAACUCAAGUUCCUUUCGGCUUGGCUUGGACCUUGCCUUGGAGACCCUGUCGGCAUCCCUCCAGACUAGGAUACAGAGGUCAAAGGGCUGACAAAGCCUCCCAGGGCCAGGCAUGUGCCAGGCCCCGCGUGUACUGGAGUUACCAUCUCUUGCCUCAUCGACUGCACAGCUGGGAGGAGACAUUAGACAAAUACAUCUGUGAAAAGUAUACCUACAACCGUGGUGAGUGCCACCAAGAACAGCCGGAGAGCACCUUCAGAGACCAGCAUGGCUGUUGUAGAUUUUGGGGGAGGGGGUGGUCAGUGAAAGCCUCCCUAAAAAAGGUGGCACUGUGGUCAAACCCUAAAAGAGGAGCAGGGUUUGGAAGUGGGGGUGGAAAGGAAAAUGUUUCAGAGAGGAACAGCACCUCCCAGGCCCAGAGGUGACCAAGAGCAUGGUGUGCUCUAGGAACUCAGAUGGCUGGUGGGAGGGACAGUGGGGCUGUUCUUGUGAAACCCAGAGAGCAAAGCUUCUGGUGGUCACUGUGUUGCUGCUUCUAACUCUAGUGCCCAGGCACAUCCCGGGGCAUAGUAGGUGCACAAGAAAUCCUGAGCUGCAGACCCAGGAGAAGCCCGCCCGGCACCGACACCAGGCACCGAAGGGACGGCUUAUCUUCAGUGGCAGGAGACAGGAAGGCUUUGUAGAGAAGAAUAUUUUAGCUGCACUUUGAAAGACAGCCAUGCUGGUGAGAGGCAGGUGGCAAAGGAACCUGGGGACAGAGCAGCAUGAUCGAGGGCAGAGCACAGCGAGCCUCUGGGUGCUGAGUGGGGUGUGUAUGGGGGAAGGUCACACGGAGGGCACUGGGCGCCAGACCGAACAGUGUUUUGAAUGACUGGCAGUGGAGACAUCUGUGGUCUGCCCUGUCACAUGGGCUCGCUCCCUGGCUGGAGUGACUCAGGAUGGGCAGGUAGCCAAGCUGGGGAAGACCUGGCUCUGGGAGCUGCUUGGCAAGGCCUAGCCCGACUGCUGGGGGCUCUCAAGUCCAUCAGUGGAGGACAUCAGAACCCAAAGCUGUGGCCCCAGCACUGGACAAGCCUCCCCCGCCAGCCUCCGUGCUCACAUUUGAGCUGAUCAACCACUACACAGGCGCCGCGGGGCCCUGGGAAGCGCAACAGGAGAGGAACCGCAAAGGCUCUGGAGAGGCGCCCUGCUCCCGGGGUCAGGGAGGAUGACUGUGCGAGGGAUCCAAGAGAGAGGACAACAAGUUUCUGCAAUGUGAACAGGAAACAGACAGAGGAUGGUGACGGCUACACAGGUGACGGGAUGAGAGUGGAUGGUGGAGGCAGAAAGGAACAAAUCUGAAAGAGACUGGAAGAAAAACCAAACCAAACCAAAACCCCAAAAUCCCAAAUCAGGGACUGUGAGGGUGGAGCAAAAGAGGAAGGGGCCAGGAGACCAAGGGCUACUGGAGGAUUUGAGUCCUGCUAAUCCAAAGACCACCACAGCCUGCUCCUUUCCUCCUUUCAGUUGUUCCCACUGGCAGGGCAUACCUUUGACAUUUUCUGGAUCUCAGGAAACUACAAUCUCUUACUUUGAAGAUCAGUUAUUUGCUGUGUGCCUCUAGGCAAGUUACUUAGCCUUUCUGGGCCUUGGUUUCCUUGUUUAUUAAAUGAAGACAAUAGCAUCUGAUUUACAAUGCUACUGUGAAGAUGUAUAAAUUAUUUAGAACAAUGACUAGCGCAUGGCUGGUUGUCAAGCAGUGUGGAGCUGUCUCUAAUUGUCACUAUUGAGCUAUCACAGCCGCAUCACAUGGCAGUUUACACAACGCCCUCCCAGGCUGGGAUACUGACAAGGCCCUGGAGAUCACGGUCAUAAACCGCCAGGUUAUUUCAGUGUCUCCAGCUGAGGCAAGGAGCGGGUGCCCAGGAUCAGUUACUAAGGGGUGCUGUUCCAUGGCUAUAAGACUGGUGUCAGAGAGCAAGGGGGACAGGGAUGGAGAAGAAGCAUGCUGUUCCAGUGGUCAGUGGACCAUAAUGUCUGGAAUCUGGACGCCAUCUUGUGGGCCAAGGGGAGCCACACAAGAUUGAAGGGCAAAGGAAUCCACCUGCAUCUGGGGACAGACUUGGACCCGAGGACAGAAACUUGGCCCUGAAGCAGACAGUAGCAGUGAGGAAACGGGAGGAAUUCUCAACAGGUGGAUGGGACAGGAUGUGGCAAGAGAAUGGAUAGGGAAGAAGCUGGUUUUGUUAGCUGGGGGGAAUGUAGGAGGCUACCAAGAAGCCUCAUGUGAAACAACGCUUCCCAGCUGUGGACUCCCGGGAGACCCUGGAAGCCAGAGCCACAGCUGUAAGAAUGGAGCUCUGGUCACAGUGUGUGAGGCAGGCACAGGUCCAGGGCCUGACAAAGCAUACGGUUGACACACACCAAAGGGAGCAACGUUCUAGGAGGAAUGCGGGCACCUCCCAACACACACAGACGCCUAUGGAUCUCCAACUCUGUCGCUGAUCUUUGACAUCAAUGGAUCUUUCCUAUAAUCGAGAUUUUCAGGCCCAAAGUGUUAGUCUAAUUUAAAAAUUAAAUACACCUCUAAAGUACAGAGUCAAUUCAGAAAACACUAUAGAACUGAUAAACUGAAAUUAGACCUCAGAAGAAUUAGGUCUUUGACUUAUACUGACAAGCUCUAAUUAGGAACUUAUUGCGAACCAAGCAUCUCUAAGUGCUGGACGUACAAGGUCCAACGUAUCUGACAUUAUUCUCUGAGUCUUAAGGGACAGCUACUGAUGCUCUAACUGCAAGUGAGGUCAAUCUUGAGAGGAUGCCUUUAUGGAUUCAUUCAUUUAAAAGAAGCAGGAAAAAAUGGGAGUUUUUUCAGUUGUAAGGAGCAUUGCCACUUGGCUGCUGAGUUAUAGGUCCUUAUCACAGCUGCAGGAAAGUAGGGCAUCGCCAGGGUCCCUGAAGGUGACUGCCUCUGCUGUUUGACACUGUGUCUUUCCUAUUUGCAACACUGGCCUCAGGUCACAGUGAUCGAGGUGGCAAACUGGUGAAGGACAAAAGAGCACUCUGGGUACUGAUAAUUCGGAAAUGUGGGUGGUGUGGACAUGGAGCUCUGUUUGGGAGGCACAAAGAAAGGCUGAUCUCCAGAGACGAGGCCCAGGCAGGAGGGUGACUGCAGAGCUCCAAGUCUCUUUGGAAGCAUGUAACUAAAAGCAUAAAAGGCAUGUGCCAGCCGGGCGCGGUGGUGCACACCUGUAAUCCCAGCAACUUGUGGGGCUGGUGCAGGAGGGUUGUCAAGUUCCAGGCCAGUCUCAGCAACUUAGUGAGAACCUAUUUUAAAAGAAAAAGGAUUGCGGACUGCAGUUGUGGCUCAGUGGUAGAGCACUUGCCUAGUAUGUUCAAAGCACUGGGUUAUAUUCCAAGUACCGUGAAGAAGGAGGGAGGGAGGAAAAAACAGGAUGAUGUCUUUCUAGUACCAAAGAGGGAAAGCUUCAAAAAACAACGCACCCCCAUUAUUUUGCAACAAAUUGCAUUCUUGUCAGGGAACAUCUUAAGGUUAUGAUCAAUACAGAAAUCUUCAAGACGUUUAUCUAACCAAUGGGGACUGGCAGCUGCACUGCAAUGGGCUGGGUGGGGAGAGGGUGAGAGAGGCUGCAGUGCGCUCUCCGCACUGCGCUCUCCUCCCAGCAGUUUGUGGCUGUGUUGAAGCCCUUACUAUAUACCAUACCCACUGUUCACAGUUUCCACAGACACUCUUUGGCAGAUUUCUUCUGCUCAAGUUGCUCAGAACAGGGCAGCACGAACUCCAGGAACAUCAACUAAGAACUGUUUGCUAAGAGACUCCCAAGAGAAAGCAGGCUGCCACCUGGUCAAGGGGACGCACAUCAACGACCCUGACACAGUGGGGCACGGGAUGCAGGAGUGAGGCCUGGAGUGCAGACAGCUGCAGCAGGUGGAGGCCGGGGCGUAAGGUGCUGUUCCUCAUAAAGAUCAGGGCUGGCGACAGGGCCAGGCCUGGCUCCCAGAGAACCCCAAAUCCUGCAUGGCGGGAAUGUCAAGUGCCAGGAAUGAGGGGUGAGGGCCGAGGCCAGAGCAGCCAGAUGUCAGAGUCCCCAGGGAAACGAAGGUCAUGCCAGAAACCUGGACUUUGCCUCAAGAACUGAAGCAGGGGACAAAAGGACUGGAUUUGUGGUUGACAGACACCUCUGGCAGCAGCGUGAAGAGCAGCUUGCAGGUGCCUAGGAAGUGAGCUGGAGGUUCCUAAACUAGAACUUGACAUGCCCUGGACACAGAGGCUGUGGGAUGGUCAGGGGUGACCGAGCACCGAGCAGCCUGAAGGAGGGAGAGCGACAAGCCUUGGUGAUUCAGCAGAUACGGGGUGACAGAGCUGUUAAGGAGGAUUUCCAUACAAGAAGGGCAGUGGGUGAAAGGUGGCAGAUUUCAUGUGGCUUAAGAAAAUUUUGAUGGCAUCUGCGAUGUCCAUAUCCUCAAGUAAUAUCUGAAUAAUCCUCACUGUAACUUAAGAAUUAAUGAUUGGACUGAGUAGCUGAUGGUUUUCCACCAUCCAAGUGGGACAAAGUCCAACCCCUGAGUCCUGGUUGCCAAUCUCCUUCAGACUGGGAUUCCAACCUCUCCCACCCAUGCCCCCUCCUCAGGCCGCUCCAGGUACAGGUGCUGCACUUCCUUCACAGAGCCUCUUUGCCUAACGUGGGUUGAGCAUGCACUCAUUUCUCAAGGGCCAUCUUCUUACAGAAGACUUUCCUGGGCCUUCUGGCAGUUUCCUUGCUCCCUCUCUUCAGAGCCCUUUACUUUGAGCACCCCCAUCAUGGUUUUCAUACACAACGUAAAACUCCUCUGAUUCUUCAAAUUACCCUGGAGUUUACUAAGAAUAAAGACUCCAGCUUGUUCCUCA